UACAGCGGGAGAAAUUUUGAGAAAUAUGGAUACCAGCGUUUCUCCUUGCGAAAAUUUCUACAACUACGCUUGUGGGAAGUAUAAAACUCAUCUACAGCUGAGUGCCACAACUGGUCAUUACGAUCACUUCAAAGAGAUCGAAUCGGUCGUCAAUCAACGACUACAAGACAUCAUUUCUGAACCAAUUUCUGGCAACGACAUGGAAUCUUUGAAAAAAGCAAAGAUAGCUUUCCGAGCUUGCAUGAAUCCAGGCCGCAAUAGCACAGGGUUGACGGAAAUGCUAUCGAUUCUAAGACAGCAAGGAGGAUGGCCCAUGGCAAUGACAUUUACAAGAGACUGGAAUUCAGUUUCGUGGCAUGAAAUCGAUAAGAAGUAUGUCGAUCUCGUUGGUGAAUCCGCAUUUUUUCGUUUUAAUGUCGAGCCUGAUGACAUUUACCCUAAACGAGCCUUGGUGCUCAAACCAGGGGUCUCUACUUUGCCGACACGUAUACUUCAAAAUGCAUGGAGCCACUCGGGCAAAAUAGAAACCUACCGCAAAUUCAUCGUUGAAGUUGCCAAGCGAUUCGCCGAAGAAUUCAACCUUCCCGAAAGGAAUAUUAUGACGGACGUAGAAGAUAUGUUGGCUUUAGAAACCAAAUUAGCACAGUUGCAAGACACCGCAAAGCAGAGCAUGUACAGAUUUUCGAAGCGGAAAAGCCUAACCAUGUCGGAGUUUGUCCAACGACAAACUAAACCGGGAUCAAAGAUAAAUUGGAAGAGCACCAUCGAAAGCUUUCUCGCGAAAGCUAAUGUCAAAUACGAUCCUUGGGGGAAGAUAAUAGUAUCCGAUACGGCUUAUUUUGAUUUGUUGGAGGAAAUCUUGUCGGAAGAGUCGCCUAGAGUAGUAGUUAAUUACAUUCAUUGGCAAUUCGUUCGUCGUUUUCUGGGAAGUAUCAAUUCUGAGUUACAGUUUCUCGACCUUCUAAUGCGGAGCGAAACAUUAAAAAAAAAGGAAGAUAUAUCAGAAGAAAUGGAAUGCCUAGAGAAGAAUCCUGCGCAUUUCGCAAUUGUUCAUCAAUAUCUGAAGAAACACGUUCCAAAAGAGAGCGAAGACGUCGUGAAAGAAAUGGUUGUAGAUGUAAAGAAAAUAUUGGAACGGCAAGUCGAUGGAGCUUCUUGGUUGGACAGAAAAGGGAAACAGGCGUCGAAGAUAAAAGUAGAGCGUUUAAAAGGAUUUGUCGGGCCUCCUUCGUGGGUACGAAACUCCGUCCUGGUUAAUCAAUAUUAUCAAAAGUUAGAAACUGGACACAUCCACCUCAGAAACGUCUUCAAUGCGAAGAUGCAAGCAAUACGAAAUAUGCUCGGUCUGUUGGAGCAGCCAGUAAAUCAACCCGAAGAUUCAGUCAUAUGGUCCAGAGGAGUUAAAAAAGUGAACGCACAUUAUAGCCGCAGUCACAACUAUUUGUUAAUAUCACUAGGAGUGAUGCAGCCACCAUUUUUUCUUAAAGACGUUCCCGAAAAUAUCCAGUUCGGGGCUUACGGUGCAGUUAUGGGUCAUGAGUUGGCUCACAGUUUCGAUAACUUAGCCCGCGAGAUUGCCUUUGAUGGCUCGCGUAUGCCGUGGUCCAGCAAAUCGAUUAAAGCAUAUCGAGAACGAGCACAAUGUUGGAUCGAUCAAUUUAACAAGUAUCAAUUUAAAGACUUGCAAACAUUUAAUCGAACCGUUUACAGCAACGGUGCAGUAACCGAAAAGGAGAACAUGGCUGACACUGUCGGAAUGCAACUGACCUACGCCGCUUUCAAAGCCAGAGAGAAGGAUUAUCAAAAACUGCCUGGUCUGAGCACCUACUCUGACGAUCAGUUGUUCUUUUUGUCAUUCGCAAAUAUUUGGUGCGAGUAUAGGAAUUCGGAGAAUUUGUUGUUCUUCUCAAAGUUACCUAGCCAACACAGUUUGGCGGAACACCGAGUUAUCGGCACUUUAUCGAACAUGAAUGGUUUUGCCGAAGCAUUCGAGUGUCCAAAGAACAGUCCCAUGAACCCGUUACAGAAGUGCAACUUAUGGCAAUGAGGAUACUUUUUUUAUUUUCGAUUAUUCGUUAAAAUUGAUUACCCAUCUCACACCCGGAAAUUAAACCUGCUCGUAUAAAUGACUAGCACAAUGACCUCGAACUAGCUGAAAGGAAAAGAGUUCAUCAGGCAGC